rnacentral:rRNA from 1 species
AGUGAACGCUGGCGGUAGGCCUACCACAUGCAAGUCGAACGGCAGCACAGAGGAGCUUGCUCCUUGGGUGGCGAGUGGCGGACGGGUGAGGAAUACAUCGGAAUCUACUCUGUCGUGGGGGAUAACGUAGGGAAACUUACGCUAAUACCGCAUACGACCUACGGGUGAAAGCAGGGGAUCUUCGGACCUUGCGCGAUUGAAUGAGCCGAUGUCGGGUAAGCUAGUUGGCGGGGUAAAGGCCCACCAAGGCGACGAUCCGUAGCUGGUCUGAGAGGAUGAUCAGCCACACUGGAACUGAGACACGGUCCAGACUCCUACGGGAGGCAGCAGUGGGGAAUAUUGGACAAUGGGCGCAAGCCUGAUCCAGCCAUACCGCGUGGGUGAAGAAGGCCUUCGGGUUGUAAAGCCCUUUUGUUGGGAAAGAAAUCCAUCUGGUUAAUACCCGGGUGGGAUGACGGUACCCAAAGAAUAAGCACCGGCUAACUUCGUGCCAGCAGCCGCCGUAA